UUAAACACCGGUUCCCAUCGAAGUUAAGCAACGUCGACCCUGGUCAGUACCUAGAUGGGUGACCGCUUGGGAAUAUCAGGUACUGUAAG